rnacentral:rRNA from 1 species
CCUACGGGAGGCAGCAGUGAGGAAUAUUGGACAAUGGGCGAGAGCCUGAUCCAGCCAUGCCGCGUGCAGGAAGACGGCCCUAUGGGUUGUAAACUGCUUUUAUACGGGAAGAAACACCCCUUCGUGAAGGGACUUGACGGUACCGUAUGAAUAAGGAUCGGCUAACUCCGUGCCAGCAGCCGCGGUAAUACGGAGGAUCCAAGCGUUAUCCGGAAUCAUUGGGUUUAAAGGGUCCGUAGGCGGGACAAUAAGUCAGUGGUGAAAGUCUGCAGCUUAACUGUAGAAUUGCCGUUGAAACUGUUGUUCUUGAGUAAUUAUGAAGUGGUUAGAAUAUGUAGUGUAGCGGUGAAAUGCAUAGAUAUUACAUAGAAUACCGAUUGCGAAGGCAGAUCACUAAUAAUU